GGACAUAGAGAGCAGGGCCUUUAUUCUCGAAACGUUCGUAGCCCUAAGAAUUCUUAACUUUGAUCGUAGCCAGUGUGCUAAGAAUGGGCUUAAGGAGUUCAUAGGGCUACGUACGUUUCGAGAAUAGGGGCGGUGGGGUAGCCUAUUUUGGAGACCAGAGAU